AGGAGACUGUGAGAGAUGAUGGUGUUGAGGGGACAGCGACGAGAAUACAAAAUUCUCGCCGUGGACGGAGCAAGUGCAUCUUCAGGAAGCCAGUCCUAGUCUUUUGUCUUGUGCCUUCUAGCUCCCGCUUUCUGCUUCCCCAUGAGAAGAAUAAGACGUCGCCUCAUCAUCUUUUCCUGUCUUGGACGUGCUGACGAUGAGAUUCUAGUGGCAGCCAAUUUAGCGAGCUCCAGAAGCAAUGGUGUGGUGCAGCUACUGCGCGAAGGACCAAGAGGCCGAGCGAGACGACAUCAAUGGCUUCACAUGUUGUAUGGGAUGUGGGCGCGUGCUGGCCGAUGACUCUUACUCCACUGAGGUCACAUUUACUAAGGGCGCCGAUGGCUCGAGUCAAGCAGAAGGGAAUUUCAUACGCAGCGGGCAGACCAGCAUGAUACGGUUAGCUGGUGCGCAAGGGCGUGUUCUUGGCUUUCAAUCCGAUUCACAUGAGAAGACUCUCAAUAAAGGCAAGAACGAAAUACGAGAAAUUGCGGAGCGACUCUCCAUACGACCACGAGAUGACAUAGUGCAAGCUGCACAUCGUUUCUACACGAUUGCAGUCGAGCGUAAUUUCACUAGAGGUCGACCAACGCCCCGAGUAGCUGGGGCAUGCUUAUACAUUGUAUGCCGGCAAGAGAACAAACCUUACAUGCUCAUUGACUUCUCCGACUCUUUGCAGACCAACGUGUAUGUAUUAGGAGCAGUAUUUUUGCAGUUAUGUCAACUAUUGCGUCUGGAGCAGCACCCCAUCAUGCAAAGACCUGUCGAUCCUAGUUUAUUUAUACAUCGAUUUGCUGAUCGAUUGCAAUUUGGAAAGAAGAUGCAUGCAGUUGCCAACUCUGCUUUGCGCCUUGUUGCCAGUAUGAAGAGAGAUUGGAUGCAGACAGGAAGACGACCAAGUGGUGUUUGCGGAGCUGCGCUUUUCAUAGCAGCACAUAUUCAUGGGUUUGAGCGUUCAAAAGCUGAUGUGGUAAGUGUGGUGCACAUUUGUGAGGCAACUCUUAAGAAGAGGUUGGUCGAAUUUGAGCAAACGGAAUCCGGCAGCUUAACGGCUGAGGAGUUCGAUAUGAAAGCGAAGGAGAUUGAUUUGCAGAUCAGAGUAGGCCUUGUAAGCCCGCAGAUUGAAGGCAAAGGGACCACCACAAUUAUGUGUGAGCAUAAAGACAUGGGUGUUGUGCAUUUUGCGCAUGGUCUUUGCCGUGGUUGUUACGAUGAGUUCGUUAAAGUCUCAGGGGGUAUGACAGGUGGCUCCCACCCACCUGCCUUCAAACGUGCUGAACAGAAGCGGUUGCUGGAGGCUAAGAAGAAGGAGGAUGAGAAAGCUUUGGUGCUUUGGGAAGGGAAUGAUGAUCCAACUGCUAUUAAGACCUAUGAAAGACGAGGCCGAGGGAGAGGAAAAGAAGUUGUAUUACAUGAAGGGACUGAUGACCCUCACUCCUUGGCUUCUGGUUCGCCCUCUUCUCAGAGAAAACCUAAAUUGAAGGAGAUAGCCAGGGGAGCGGCUGAGGCCUCUGAAGCUACACAGGAAUCGCAAGACAGGAAAGGGGUUGCCGAAUUUAUCAGUGAAGUGGCGACAGACAUUGCAUCCCUGAUUGAUGAUUCAGAGCCUGUGCUCCAGAAGAGGCAGUUGGAAAUCCGAGUAGCUCUAAAUGAGGCAGGAGAGGACAGUGGCUUAAUCGAUUCUGCGGGAGUUGACGAGAGAGAGGGAGAUGUAAAGAAAGCGGAAGCUACAGCAGAAGAUGGAGAAGCGUGUGUUGAGGAUGAAGAUGACAAUGAGACGCUCUCCGACAUUGAUGACGAUGAGGUGAAAGGCUAUCUUCACAACGACGAGGAAGUCAGGCUCAAGACAAUCAUUUGGACAGAAAUGAAUAAAGAGUAUUUGGAGGAGCAAGAACAAAAACGAGCAGCCAUCGAGGCCAGUGAAAAAGCGCGAAUCGCAGCAUUUGAAGCAGCUGCCACAAACUCUGCCAGCGCAGCGGAGUUAGCUGCAGCUGCAGCCGCGGCAGUUGCUAAAUUAAGGAAGCUGGUUUUGUUUCUCUGCAGGAUCGUAAGCAAAAGAGACAAGAUGAAGCAAACAGGCCACCUGCAGAUUCAGCCGCUGAUGCAGCUCGUCAUAUGCUUGUAAGCAAGAAGCUGAGCUCUAAAGUGAACUAUUCUGUACUUGCAAACCUUUUCGAUGCAGACAACCCCGAGAAGGAGAAACAGCAAGCUAAAGAGGAAGCUACAGAUGAUAGAGAAAACAAGCGUCAGCGCAAGGUGACUUUUGAAGACGAUCUGACUGAGCAGGUGCCUAACGUAGAAGCCAAGGAAGAGAUAACCGUGGUGAUGGAGCGUGAGAAAGUAGAAGAGAAAGUAGAAGAGAAAGUAGAAGAGAAGGUGGAAGAGAAAGACGUCGAAGAGGAGGAAGUUUAUGAUGAGGAUGAGGAAGCCCACUUCGAGGAGUCGGCCCCAUAUGACGAAGAGGAUUAUUAUGAUGAGUACGAAUAGUGAUGGGUGAUGCCUGCAGUAUGGACUAUCCUAUUGUAAGCCACCUUUCAACUUGUAUGUACAUCAGGAAAUUUGAUCAUUCGACAUUUACCCUUUUAGGAAGAAACAUUAAAUGGCAGCAACUGCCCCAAACUUACCUUACAAUGGUAGAAUUGUACAAUAUUGAAGCUCUUUGUGGGCACUCUUAGCAGCCUGAUUUAAUGUGACUUGAUGCACCGAUUAAUCUAGGUCAACAUGCUGAUGCUAUUGUUAAUGGUGCUGGAAGUUUUGGUAUGACGUUGGUAUUACCCUCCAGCACCCGUCCAUUGUGGCAAUUUAUUUGAAGAUGAUUUCUUUCAUUUAUUUGAAGGUGAUUUGUCUCAAAA